GAUGUCCAGGAGACAGCAGCCAUAACUGAGGCCAUCCUGGAACACUACAACAUCCUCUUCAGUCAGGGUCGCCAACACUAGCAGGAGAGGACAGCCCUCUGGGAAGACCUCACACAGAGAGUGAACACCUUAGGGAACCGUGGCCACAUGUAUGAACAGCUGCAGAAGAGAGGGCCUCAAAUGUGAGGUCCUAUGCGAGGCAAUUGCCCAAGAUCCGACAAGCACAUGGUCCACACAUUCAGUGCCUGGUUCUGAUGAAGUCAUUUUGACGAAAGCGCUUGACCGACCUGUGUGGAGUUUACAAUUUCAUCAUUAAAGUGUGGUUCUAUUGAGACCUUCGGGGACUAGUUAUUGGCUCUGGAAGUGGACUGUUUUCCUUAGAGAAGUCUACUGUACUAGAAACAUGGACCUUAUACAUGGUAGUCCUAUACUCACAGUUUUUGCCAGUAGAAGGAUUAAAGAAUACAUGUGUAUGUUUAAUUACAUUGCAAGGUAAUGUAAGGGCACAUUAGCAAAAUACAAGUUGCAAUCCUUGCAUCAGAACCCAGGACCAUGUGAACUUCAGGCCAACAAUUAACAUCUGCAACCACAGAAGAAGUUACAUGAAGAUCUGCUACAUUAAUAUUUAUCCUGAGAUUCUCACGCAGUGCAACAGCACUUAGCAAGUUUGUGCUGUGUAUACUGACAUUAAGUGAAUGCAUCCCAGGUCCAUUUUUAGAUGUCUGGUUCCCAUUUGAUACAUGGGUGUCCACUUCUACAGUUUGUGCACUGCCGCUGUGCAUGCAAAUCAGCUGUUUGUACUAUGCACAGCAAUGUGCCACCUCCAAAUAUUGAGAUAAGUGAUAAUAGGCAGAAUAUAAAAUCAAUGUAUCACAUACACUACUAGACUGCAUAACUACACAGGAAAUAUCCCCACAUAGUUCUACAAUCCAAGUCACCAUCUGAUGCACAUGUUACAUACAGGAUGAGUGCCUUAACCCUGAGUUUCACACAUACACCUUUGUAGCAAGCAGUAAUAGGCAUCCAGCGCCAUAGCUCUAAAUUUCUUAAAAUGGGGAAUCUGUACAAAAGCACAAUUAACGGGGGACAAAGGCCUAUAAAUAAGGACAAUCUUUAAAUAUUGCUCAUACAUACUUAUGAAGUAGAUAGACUAAGAGGUUAGCACAACUCUUCUGACAGAUAUGAAGCCUGAAACCCAGAUGUGUGCCAUCAGUUCCUGACCUCAGUCCUCAAUGAUUUGGCAGUGAUUUGAUAGACUGCCACAAUAGUAUGAGACACAGAUAUAUGAGUCCAACAUCUGGACAUUCUGUGAAAAUCUGAACAGCUGAGAGAGACUGUCAGCACACAAUCAAACUGAAAACAACGUAUGUUUGAAAUAGAAUAUUGCAAGUUUCCUGUACAUUUCAUGACAUAUGUUACUUUUACAAUAUUGGAGAAACUGAUUACACACUGUUAUGAUAUCUGCUUGCAAAUAUACAGCACUAUUGUACAUAUCUGUGUUUCUUGGGCAUUGAUCAGUUAACUGUCCAGUAGUCUGGGACAUAUAAUGUGUACACCAUUCAAUAUCAUUGCAUUUACAAUGUCAAAGGACAUUAACUGGGACUAAUAUGAUAUGUGGUUGCCAACUAAAGAAGGGCAGGUUGGAUGUCACAAACAAGCAUUGACUGUUCUUUUGGGGGAUGGAGAAGCAAAGAUGUGU